rnacentral:rRNA from 1 species
GAAGGGAGCUUGCUCCCGGAUGUUAGCGGCGGACGGGUGAGUAACACGUGGGUAACCUGCCUGUAAGACUGGGAUAACUCCGGGAAACCGGAGCUAAUACCGGAUAGUUCCUUGAACCGCAUGGUUCAAGGAUGAAAGACGGUUUCGGCUGUCACUUACAGAUGGACCCGCGGCGCAUUAGCUAGUUGGUGAGGUAACGGCUCACCAAGGCGACGAUGCGUAGCCGACCUGAGAGGGUGAUCGGCCACACUGGGACUGAGACACGGCCCAGACUCCUACGGGAGGCAGCAGUAGGGAAUCUUCCGCAAUGGACGAAAGUCUGACGGAGCAACGCCGCGUGAGUGAUGAAGGUUUUCGGAUCGUAAAGCUCUGUUGUUAGGGAAGAACAAGUGCAAAAGUAACUGCUUGCACCUUGACGGUACCUAACCAAAAGCCCGCGGCU